rnacentral:rRNA from 1 species
GACGAACGCUGGCGGCGUGCUUAACACAUGCAAGUCGAACGGAAAGGCCCGGCGUUUGUGCGUUGCUCGAGUGGCGAACGGGGGAGUAACACGUGAGUAACCUGCCCUUGACUUUGUGGUAACAUCAGGGAACUGGGGCGAAUACCGGAUAGGAGCUCCUGCUGCAUGUGGUGGGUUGGAAAGUUUCGGCUGUUGGGGAUGGACUCGCUGGUUAUCAGCUGCUUGGGGGGGUAGGUGCGUACGAAGCCUUCGAAGGGUAGCCCGCCUGGGAGGGUGACCGGCGACCAUGGGCCUGAGAGACGGCCCAGUCUGCUACGGGAGGCAGCGGUGGGGAACCUUGCACAAUGGGCCGGCGCCUGAUACGACAACGCCGGGUGCGGAAUGCCGGCCUUCGGGGUGUAAACAGCUUUGGCAUGUGACGAGGAGGGCGUGACGGUAACGGGUAAAAAAGCCCCGGCUAACUACGUG